rnacentral:lncRNA from 1 species
ACCUCAACUCGUGACCUGCACAGAAAAACACUAAAAACACAUCAAAAGACACUAAACACUUAAGUACAACCAACCAAUUUAAGUGGAAAUGAAGGCCUAUAAGUGUGUAUAAAUACCACUUAUCACACCCCCAAACUUAAACUGAUGCUUGUCCUCAAGCGUCAACGACACUAUACAAUAAUACAAUGCAAUGCAUGAAUGCAACUACGUGAUGAAUGAGUGAACUAUGAAGUAAUUGCCUUGCCAAUUAUAAUACCUCAGAUUGUGCUAAUGUUCUCGAAUUUCAUCUCUCUCGCUACCAAGUCAAUUACUCUUCUAUUUACAAGUGUGGAGUGCCAGUGUGUGCAAGCAUGCUCUUUUAUUGAGACAAGACAAAAACUACUACUCCCACAGAAUCCCAAUCAAGAAUCGUAAAAGUUUAAAACUAACACCCCGUCACUCAAGUCCAACUAAAAGCCAAGGUCCCAAAGAAUGUCCACACCCUUCUAUUUUAUUCACUACUAUUUUUUUUUCUUUUUUGUCUCUUUUUAUUGGUGAUUAAUUGCUCGGUCUAAGGUCAGAGCGCUUCGCAGUGUAAAUGCGUUACGAACACCACAAGACUUCACACACCAAUUAUUCACUCUAUUCUAGUGGUUUAUUUAACCGUGCAAUGGUUGAGAUCCCUAAAGAUUUAUGCACUAGUACCCAUGUAGCGAGCGUUGGGUCAACAAUCCCAAACCACGAAGGGCUUUAGGUUGUUAGGCACAAAGUCCCCUCAGAC